GCCCAGUGACAAUUAGUUUAACGGCCGCAGUAUAAUGACUGCGCUAAGGUAGCGUAAUCACUUGCCUUUUAAAUAAAGCCCAGUAUGAAUGGCAUAACGAGGAUUUAACUGUCUCCUUAACCUAGUCAAUGAAAUUAAUCUAUCCGUGCAGAAGCGGAUAUAAGAACAUAAGACGAGAAGACCCUAUGGAGCUUUAGGAUACGGGGCAAGCAUAUCAAGAAUUAUAAAAACAGAAUAUAUUUAAACCUAUGUAAUAUGACCCCCUUCCUUAGGUUGGGGCGACCCUGAGGCAAAAUAUAGCCCUCAUAUGGAAAUAUAAAAGAUAAACUCUAAUUCAGUCUUUUAAACUAAGAGUGACAACUCUAAGAAAUAGAACAUCUAACCAAAAAUGACCCAGGAUAAAUAAACCUGAUAACUGAACCAAGUUACCCUAGGGAUAACAGCGCAAUCUUCUCCUAGAGUCCCUAUCGACGAGAAGGGUUACGACCUCGAUGUUGGAUCAGGACAUCCUAAUGGUGCAGCCGCUAUUAAGGGUUCGUUUGUUCAACG
rnacentral:rRNA from 1 species